AACGAACGCUGGCGGCAUGCCUAACACAUGCAAGUCGAACGAGACCUUCGGGUCUAGUGGCGCACGGGUGCGUAACGCGUGGGAACCUGCCCUUAGGUUCGGAAUAACUCCCCGAAAGGGGUGCUAAUACCGGAUAAUGUCUUCGGACCAAAGAUUUAUCGCCUUUGGAUGGGCCCGCGUUGGAUUAGCUAGUUGGUAGGGUAAAAGCCUACCAAGGCGACGAUCCAUAGCUGGUCUGAGAGGAUGAUCAGCCACACUGGGACUGAGACACGGCCCAGACUCCUCCGGGAGGCAGCAGUGGGGAAUAUUGGACAGGGGGCGAAAGCCUGAUCCAGCAAUGCCGGGUGAGUGAAGAAGGCCUUAGGGUUGUAAAGCUCUUUUACCCGGGAUGAUAAGGACAGUCCCGGGAAAAUGAGCCCCGGCUAACUCCGU
rnacentral:rRNA from 1 species